rnacentral:rRNA from 1 species
AAUCAACGCUGGCGGCGUGCCUCAGACAUGCAAGUCGAACGAUUAAAGCUCCCUUCGGGGAGUGCAUAGAGUGGCGCACGGGUGAGUAACACGUAAGUAAUCUACCCUCGGAUGGGGAAUAACAGUCGGAAACGACUGCUAAUACCGCAUAAUGCAGCGGCACCGCAAGGUGACAGUUGUUAAAGGAGCAAUCCGUCGUGGGGAGGAGCUUGCGGCAGAUUAGCUUGUUGGUAAGGUAACGGCUUACCAAGGCUACGAUCUGUAUCCGGUCUAAGAGGACGGUCGGACACACUGACACUGAAUAACGGGUCAGACUCCUACGGGAGGCAGCAGUCGGGAAUUUUGGGCAAUGGGCGAAAGCCUGACCCAGCAACGCCGCGUGAAGGAUGAAGUAUUUCGGUAU